CUCUCGUUAGCGUAGUGGUUAACGCGCGGCCCCAGUUGGGCGCGAGACGCGGGUUCGAAUCCCGCCUGAGAUG
rnacentral:tRNA from 1 species